GAAACUGAACAUAGCCUAGUUAUCCCAGCUGAUUUUUUGUUCUUACGUAAAUUUUUUGUAUUUGCCGAAGUCUUCCCAUUUUCUGAAUUUUCAAAAUUUAUACGUUUAAAUUAUUCUUCAUAAAUGAUACGUUGCAGCUGUAUUCUAAACUUUAUUAUUUCAUUGUACGAAAGUGUCUUAUAUAAAUAUAUUUUUACCAAUUUAUCUAUGCUACAAACUAUUACGGAGUUUCGAUAUGAGAGCGUCUGAAUUACACAAAACCCCUAUAUCCAACCAUGAAAUAUAAAUUGAAACUAUCCAAGGAACAAUCCAAAAAAUCUCAAAGAUUAGCAAAAUCAAGGAAUUCCGAAGACAAACUGAAAAUAAUUAAAUAAAACCCAUAAAAUGCCAAACGAAUAUCUUCAAUAACCCAUCUACAUAAAAUACUUUAUACGAACACGCCUUUUCUUAAGUAGCAUCAUCACCUCGAGCACCGUCACCAUGAUCAAAGCGUCUUUUAUACUUUUUAUGGUGAAACUCAAGAGGCCAUGUGUCUCAUCGACGUCGGAAACUUAAAACUUCAAGGUGCAUUCCAAUCGUAACGGUUUCCCAGAUUACAGUCCUCAAGUCAAAAGUACUCUCAGAAGAAUUCAGCCAACUGGCCCAACCCAGAUUUCAUGGGAGUUAAGAAAUUUCAGUUUCACCCACAGAUUACUCUCCUACAGAUAUACAUACAUAAAUUGAUUAGCAAAAUCCACUCAUUCCUCUACACGUUAACGACAGCGACAUGCUUGAUCAUUACUGUCGCACGAUACCAUCCGCGAUAACUCAGAAUAC